CACCACCGCAUCACCUCAGCUACAUUCUCGGACACGAAUCGAACUACAUGAUCAAACGUACCGCGGAUCAGAUGCAUCACCCGGGAAGGCGGCAGGUGAACGAUUUGCCGGCGAUCCCGACAGGACCUGGGAUGCCCGCCCCACGUUGUGAAGGAAGGGGCAGGAAGCCGGGUCACGGUUCUCACCUCGACUUUCUCCAAGUCAUUCUCAGUGCCUCACUUCGCCGGGGCGCUCAGCCGCCCAUCCAGGCUGGGUGUGAAAGUGAACCGCUGAAGACACUUCACGCUCAGCGCGCCGGAGCUGGUCCUCGCGUGCUUUUCAACCAGGGGAGGGGUGCUAGGAUGUUCCUUACCUGCAGGAGAUGGUGAUCUCCACUUUAGUGGCCGGCCAACUCGACUGGAAAACCGUUCCAAAGCUAUUUGAAGAAAUGCAAUAAUUGAUAACGUUUCUUCAAACAACAAUCUACCACAACCGACGUUGACUCCAUGUUACUGCAGUAAUACUUUCCAAAAUAUUAAAUCUAAU